ACCCCGGCCUCAGCUGAACCAACGCCCAGGGUGUCGUACCAAGUGACCCGGCAGGGCGAGCGUCUGAACGGCUGCUGGGUCCCGGGCUGUCGGGAGGAAGUGGGCGAAGGCGAAUAUGCUAGGCCAGAUAGUUGAGCAGAUAAGCUCAGGGUGGUGUUGGGGAGGCCCCUGGAAUCGGUCCCCGGGGUCCGUUGGGUGCUUCCAGAAGCAUCCGCGGUAACCUAGGAGGUGAAUGGGUGGGGGGUCCUGAGAAAACUGAGCAAAAGCUCAGGCAGCAGGGUGGCUGGCUUGUUGAGAUCGCUGAGACCAGCCAGAGUUAGACAUAGGCGUGCUGAGAAAGGUAGAUAGCUGCCCUUCCAGUGCUUAGGUGAAAUUUAAGUAUUUAGGAACUUAGAUAUAAAAAACACAGGGUUUGCCUGGGAGUAGUGGCACAUGGGUUAACUAGUCUAUGUAGUGCCAGGACAGCCUACGCUAUAGAUAAUAGACCCUGUCUCAAAAGGCUGGGGGAGCUUGUUGUUGCACCCCUUGUGAUCCCUGUCUUGGAGACCAGAAGGAUUAGAAGAUACAGUUAAUCCUUGGCUGCAUAGCUUUGAGGAAGUCCCUGCCUGAAAGCGCGAUAAGGUAUUUGCAAAUUCAUCUUCCUGGAUGAGAAUUUCUUGAAGUCGGUCAUGCGUACACACCAAGUGUGGUAGUGAACGCUUGUCAUCCCAGCAUUCUGCAGGCUGAGACAGGAGAAUCUUGAGGGCUUCAGAAAUUCACCAGCAUUGCUAAGAAACCAUCUCCCCAUCCCCCAGCCUGGCAUCUCCCCAACCUCUGAAGAAGGGAAGAGUUCAGCCCUCUAGAGUUACAGCUAAAGAGCUUGAUUCCUCCAAGGCUGAUGAGCUCUGUUGACCAGUGCUGGCCAGACUAUAAUAAUUAAGAACUCAGAGAUAGCAGACAAUGGUGGCCCACACCUUUAAUCCCAGCAGAGACAGAUGCAUCUCUAAGUUCAAGGCCAGCCUGGUCUACAGAGUGAGUUCCAGGACUGCCAGGGCUACACAGAGAAACCCUGUCUCUGGGAGGAUGGGGGAACCCCUAAAGAUGACUUUGCUGAGCUGGACCCAAGAUUCAGCCCUUCCGGUAUUUUCUGGCUGUGUGAAUAAAACUUCUGGGUUUGACUUGU
rnacentral:lncRNA from 1 species